rnacentral:rRNA from 1 species
GCGAUUCGCCCUUCGGGGUGAGCAGGCGCGAAUACUCCACCAUGCGCGAAAGCGUGAUGGGGUUAACCCGAGUGCCGUCCGAUGAGGAUGGCUUUUCUUCAGUUUAAGGAUCUGGAGGAAUAAAGGGGGGGCAAGACUGGUGUCAGCCGCCGCGGUAAUACCAGCCCCCUGAGUGGUAGGGACGAUUAUUUGGCCUAAAGCGUCCGUAGCCUGUUUGGGAAGUCUUUCGUUAAAUCCGACGAUUCCAUCGUUGGGACGCGGAAGAUACUGCCAGACUUGAGGACGGGAGAGGUCGACGGUAGUCCUAGGGUAGGGGUGAAAUCCUAUAAUCCUAGGAGGACCACCAGUGGCGAAGGCGGUCGACUAGAACGUGCCUGACGGUGAUGGACGAAAGCUGGGGGAGCGAACCGGAUUAGACACCCGGGUAGUCCCAGCUGUAAACGAUGCGAGCUAGGUGUUGGAGCAACUACUAGUUGCUCCAGUGCCGCAGAGAAGUUGUUAAGCUCGCCGCCUGGGAAGUACGGCCGCAAGGCUGAAACUUAAAGGAAUUGGCGGGGGAGCAC